UGCAGUAAAGACAAGUUUACCCUUUUUCCCAUCUUUCGGUGGGGGGUGGUGUUACAGAAGACUGCCAACGAAUAAGGCUCUGGGAAAUAAGAGGGGAAUCGAUGGGCUGAUGCAGAGAAAAAAGUUUACAGCA